GAUGAACGCUGGCGGCGUGCCUAAUACAUGCAAGUCGAGCGAACAGACGAGGAGCUUUCUCCUCUGACGUUAGCGGCGGACGGGUGAGUAACACGUGGAUCACCUUCCUAUAAGACUGGGAUAACUUCGGGAAACCGGAGCCAAUACCGGAUAAUAUAUUGAACCGCAUGGUUCAAUAGUGCAAGACGGCUUUGCUGUCUCUUUUAGCUGGAUUCGCGCCGCAUUAGCUAGUUGGUAAGGUAACGGCUUACCAAGGCAACGAUGCGUAGCCGACCUGAGAGGGUGAUCGGCCACACUGGAACUGAGACACGGUCCAGACUCCUACGGGAGGCAGCAGUAGGGAAUCUUCCGCAAUGGGCGAAAGCCUGACGGAGCAACGCCGCGUGAGUGAUGAAGGUCUUCGGAUCGUAAAGCUCUGUUAUUAGGGAAGAACAAAAGUAUAAGUAACUAUGGACGUCUUGACGGUACCUAAACAGAAAGCCACGGCUAACUACGUG
rnacentral:rRNA from 1 species